rnacentral:rRNA from 1 species
AUUGAACGCUGGCGGCAGGCUUAACACAUGCAAGUCGAGCGGGGUGAUGGUGCUUGCACUAUCACUUAGCGGCGGACGGGUGAGUAAUGCUUAGGAAUCUGCCUAUUAGUGGGGGACAACAUCUCGAAAGGGAUGCUAAUACCGCAUACGUCCUACGAGAGAAAGCAGGGGAUCACUUGUGACUCUGCGCUAAUCGAUGAGCCCAAGUAGGAUUCUAUAGUUGGUGGGGUAAAGGCCUACCACGGCGACGAUCUGUAGCGGGUCUGAGAGGAUGAUCCGCCACACUGGGACUGAGACACGGCCCAGACUCCUACGGGAGGCAGCAGUGGGGAAUAUUGGACAAUGGGGGGAAUCCUGAUCCAGCCAUGCCGCGUGUGUGAAGAAGGCCUUAUGGUUGUAAAGCACUUUAAGCGAGGAGGAGGCUCUUUUGGUUAAUACCCAAGAUGAGUGGACGUUACUCGCAGAAUAAGCACCGGCUAACUCUGUGCCAGCAGCCGCGGUAA